AUUGAACGCUGGCGGCAGGCCUAACACAUGCAAGUCGAGCGGAUGAGUGGAGCUUGCUCCAUGAUUCAGCGGCGGACGGGUGAGUAAUGCCUAGGAAUCUGCCUGGUAGUGGGGGACAACGUUUCGAAAGGAACGCUAAUACCGCAUACGUCCUACGGGAGAAAGCAGGGGACCUUCGGGCCUUGCGCUAUCAGAUGAGCCUAGGUCGGAUUAGCUAGUAGGUGAGGUAAUGGCUCACCUAGGCGACGAUCCGUAACUGGUCUGAGAGGAUGAUCAGUCACACUGGAACUGAGACACGGUCCAGACUCCUACGGGAGGCAGCAGUGGGGAAUAUUGGACAAUGGGCGGAAGCCUGAUCCAGCCAUGCCGCGUGUGUGAAGAAGGUCUUCGGAUUGUAAAGCACUUUAAGUUGGGAGGAAGGGCAGUAAGUUAAUACCUUGCUGUUUUGACGUUACCAACAGAAUAAGCACCGGCUAACUUCGUGCCAGCCGCCGCGGUAAAAC
rnacentral:rRNA from 1 species